GAGAGGCCCACGUACCGCAAAAAAAAAAAAAAAAAAAAAAAAAAUAGAUGAACCAGGGUACAGAGGACCUUCCACCUUUCAGAAAGGAUUUUGGCUCACUGUUGGAAAGGACCUUGCCGCGGAUAGCAUCACCCCAGCCCAGGAGUUCACUGCUAAAGAGGACUUCGCGUCCUCCUCAAGCUCUUACGCAGAAUUACCCCUUGGACUCAACCCAGCUGUGUCGCUCCACACUUACAGCAGCCUCUCCUACUCCUCCCCUAAGCGUCUCCGGGACCAUUUACAGCAAUAUCACCCAUGGGGUGUCUACCUUCCAGAGCUAGCAGCUUACUUCCCCCGGGAUCCUGCUAUAGUCUACCCUGCCUGGUAAACUUUCCUAAAGAGCUGCUGAAUCUUCAGUCAUCUGGUCGACCUUCCAAAGCAUCCCUCCAAAGCAGAGCCAGCUUUUCUUCAAGCCCCAGCCCAUGUUUUCUACGUAAAUCCUAGUGGUCAUUCUCAGCAUCCGUGGAAGCUGGGAAAUGUAGCGUUUUAUCUGGAUACAACAACAAUAUUUAUUUCCUAAAUAAAAUUGUGGUUCUGAAGGUAAGAAAGAAGAAAGGAAUGGAUUUUCAGGAGGCAGUUAUGGUCCCUGCCACAAAGUGGAUAGGUAAUAAUAGCACUUCAUCAACAGAUUGUAUAAGUGAAAAGCACCUUGGGCAAUUCAUAGCAAGUAAUGAUAAUGUAAACGUUUAUUGAGACCUUACUCUUUAUGUGCUUUACUAUACUGUCUUAUAGAAAUCUCACAACACUCUGAUGUAGAUAAUAUCAUGAUCCCCAUUCUCCAGAUAAGCCUGUGGCACACAGGCUUCGUUGCUUCCACAGCAUGUGGGGUCCUCCUGGACCAGAGCUUGAACCUGUGUCCCCUGCACUGGCAGGUGGAUUCUUAACCACUGCACCAAGAGGGAAGUCCCAAAAAAUAAAAUUUACUUAAUUAUGUAUAUGUAAUUAAAAGUCAGAAUAAUCGUUGCAGGAAGGGGGGCCAAUUCCAGGGCCUGAGAUCGGGCUCUUGUCUAACACUUGGAAAUAAGUUGUACAAGGGGACACACUUGGUGACAAAGCAAGAGACUUUAUUGGGAAGGGGCACCUGGGCGGAGAGCAGGAGGGUAAGGGAGCCCAGGAAAACCGCUCUGCCAUGUGGCCUGCAGUCUCACGUUGUACGGUAAUGGGCUUAGUUUCCAGGUUGUCUCUGGCCAGUCAUUCUGACUCAGGGUCCAUCCUGAUGGCACAUGCAUUGCUCAGCCGAGAUGGAUUCCAGCAAGAAGGAUUCUAGGAGGUUGGUAGGACAUAUGGACUGGCAUUUCCUCUGUCCUUUUGACCUUUCCCGAAUUCUUCUGGUGGGUGGCAGCUUGUUAGUUCCUCGUUCCUUACCAAGACCUCCUGUUGUAAGAUAAUUCAUGCAAGUGGUUACUAUCAUGCCUGGCCACUGGCAGGCAGUUUCAGUCAGUGGUUCCCUUAAUAUAAUCACAGCAAUAUUUUUUAGAACUUAAAGAUUUUAAAGAACUUAAAGAUUUUUUUCCAGUUGUUUAGAAUUGCUGGCACACAGUGAUCACAAAAAGCAGAAGGUUUUGGUUUUAUUACUGGUUUAAAAUUCACUAAAGACAGAGCUCUCUAUUAUUAUCUGCACGGGGCAGAUCUCUUCCAUUGCUCUUCCUUUUCAGCCACCAGUGUUCCAUAGUUAAGCUAGUUGAAGCCAGUUUUGUUGAUUUAAUCAUACUUUAUAAUGCAGUCAGGUUUUAGAAGGGAAGCACUGGGAAUUCAUAUUUUUUAAAUGACCAAACCUAAAAUUCCUUAUGCAAUAAAAAUGAUUGCCCAGUGACUUACAUUUCUGUGUACGCAAUUGUCCUAAACUGAAGAAACUCAAGAGGAAAAGAAUCGGAAAGGGACAUGAGGGUUGCAAGUGCAAACUCCCAGAAGAUCCAGAUGAAUGUGGUCCAUGAGUGAGUGAGUGAGGCAGGGGAGAAAAGUGUCGACAUGGAAAGAAAUGCCCUGCCGGAAGUGGCCAGGUGGCAUGAGGCGCGGCCCCUACUCAGCCUCAUCCAAGUGUAUCCUCGUGGGAUGCAGGCCCGUGGUUACCCUGAUCUGGUAAUUUUUUUCAUGAGGAGCCAACAUUCUGAUGUCUGUGUAAGAUCCCUUGAUUUUUAAAUGAUGGAAAUUAAUUCAAACUCUAGAAAACACUGUGCACUGCAAACAAAACACAUCUGCAGCUGCAGUACGCUCGCAGGCUACCAAUUUCCUAAUGAAAAACGCAAGCAGUGAUUGAACCAGUUACAGAAGCCAAGAAAAUAUGCUUUAUUCUUCGAUCCUUUUCCUUUCCCCAAAUGUGACAUUUUAGAAAAAUCCAGAUACACUUACAUCAUAUCCAUAAUCUGCAGCUUAACAAGAAAAGCAGCAUAAUUAAAGAGUCUGAACGUCCAGAGCCCUCCUUUCUCUCGAGUCAGAGCCAAGGAUGGUGUCACCCAGAUGCCUGUUAACUAAGAGACAUAUACCAGAUUUAUUUAACCACUGGCAAACCGCAUUUUUUUUUCCCUAGGGCAAUAAGUUAAAAGAUUAUUUACCUCCCUUGGUUACAAAAAGAGGAAAUACUUCUUCCAAGACUCGGGGUAGCUGCGGCCAGUUCUCCCGGAGAAAUUAUUUUACCACAAAGAUUCAGAGCACAGAGCCCGGAAGCCUUUGCCCACCAGCCUCCCUGCUGCUGCACUGCAUGGGCACCUUCUGAGAAUGUCAUUUCAAAAGCCAGAUAAAAGCCAAACGAGGAGGCUGGGAGAAGAGUGUCCAACGUAGCUGUUCUGAAAACCACCCUCCAUUUCAUUCUGGAGCAGGGAGGUUACACCACACAUCACAAAAGCUUCUCUCCUCGCAGAAAAUUAACUGGUAAGUGC